UACGAGGGGGGCGAGCGUUGUUCGGAAUUAUUGGGCGUAAAGGGCGCGUAGGCGGUUCGGUAAGUUUCGUGUGAAAUCUUCGGGCUCAACUCGAAGUCUGCACGAGAUACUGCCGGGCUUGAGUGUGGGAGAGGUGAGUGGAAUUCCUAGUGUAGAGGUGAAAUUCGUAGAUAUUAGGAAGAACACCGGUGGCGAAGGCGGCCCACUGGAUCGGUACUGACGCUGAGGUGCGAAAGCGUGGGGAGCAAACAGG
rnacentral:rRNA from 1 species